GGAAGGACAACUGGACAGACACUGAAAUGCAUAACAAAGAAGACAGAGCCGUCCUAUUCAAGGAUAUGGAGAAGACUUUUUAGACUAUCUAGGUUGCAACAUUGGAUCGUUUGAAAACAGUUUGAACUGCGUUUAUGCUUGUGAGUCUAGAAUGACGUAAUAUUCUCAUGUAAGUCAGGCCUCCCCAGCUAUCUGCUCAACCCUCCGUCACGAAAAGGGUUCACAUGAGAUAAGCCAGGUCUUACCCAUGAAGUCUAACCGGUUGAACCAACCCAGCAAGAAUUCAAGGGAUAUGAAUAGGUAGUAAGGCUGCCUUAGCAUGUCUUGAUAAAGCAUGAGCUACAUAUGACACACAGAGUACAUAGCAUAGGGGGCCACUGACAUAGUGAUAUACAUAUAUGAAUAUAUAUUUAUGAAUUUUCCUCUCAUCUCCACACUUAUUUAUACAUAUCCACUUACAGUUAAGACCACGUGACUACUUCAAACCACUGGAAAGAGGGGGAAAGAAACCAUGCCACUUUCAAGCCAACUUGCCUUGCAAGGACUAGGUCCACCCACCUCGUUUUCUGCCAUAGACUGGAAACAACUUACCAAUCUAAGAAGUCGUGCACUUACUAUGCCCAAUACCUUCUCCACCCCAUCUCCUGAAUAAAUAAAUAAAGAGCCCUUGGCCCACCUGAAACUAACCAGGAUUGUUGACAUCAAAAAAAAAA
rnacentral:lncRNA from 1 species